rnacentral:rRNA from 1 species
UCCAGACUCCUACGGGAGGCAGCAGUGGGGAAUAUUGCACAAUGGGGGAAACCCUGAUGCAGCGACGCCGCGUGAGCGAUGAAGUACUUCGGUAUGUAAAGCUCUAUCAGCAGGGAAGAAGAUGACGGUACCUGACUAAGAAGCCCCGGCUAACUACGUGCCAGCAGCCGCGGUAAUACGUAGGGGGCAAGCGUUAUCCGGAUUUACUGGGUGUAAAGGGAGCGUAGACGGCGGCGCAAGCCAGAUGUGAAAGCCCGGGGCUCAACUCCGGGACUGCAUUUGGAACUGUGUGGCUGGAGUGUCGGAGAGGCAGGCGGAAUUCCUAGUGUAGCGGUGAAAUGCGUAGAUAUUAGGAGGAACACCAGUGGCGAAGGCGGCCUGCUGGACGAUGACUGACGUUGAGGCACGAAAGUGUGGGGAGCAAACAGGAUUAGAUACCCCCGUAAA